UACGUAGGGUGCAAGCGUUAAUCGGAAUUACUGGGCGUAAAGCGUGCGCAGGCGGUUAUGCGAGACAGAUGUGAAAUCCCCGGGCUCAACCUGGGAACUGCAUUUGUGACUGCAUGGCUAGAGUGCGGCAGAGGGGGAUGGAAUUCCGCGUGUAGCAGUGAAAUGCGUAGAUAUGCGGAGGAACACCGAUGGCGAAGGCAAUCCCCUGGGCCUGCACUGACGCUCAUGCACGAAAGCGUGGGGAGCAAACAGG
rnacentral:rRNA from 1 species